rnacentral:rRNA from 1 species
AUUGAACGCUGGCGGCAGGCUUAACACAUGCAAGUCGAGCGGGGUGAUGGUGCUUGCACUAUCACUUAGCGGCGGACGGGUGAGUAAUGCUUAGGAAUCUGCCUAUUAGUGGGGGACAACAUCUCGAAAGGGAUGCUAAUACCGCAUACGUCCUACGGGAGAAAGCAGGGGAUCACUUGUGACCUUGCGCUAAUAGAUGAGCCUAAGUCGGAUUAGCUAGUUGGUGGGGUAAGGGCCUAACAAGGCGAGGAUCUGUAGCGGGUCUGAGAGGAUGAGCCGACACACUGGGACUUGAAAAAGGGCCAGGCUCCUACGGGGGGCAGCAGUGGGGAAUAUUGGACAAUGGGGGGAACCCUGAUCCAGCCAUGCCGCGUGUGUGAAGAAGGCCUUAUGGUUGUAAAGCACUUUAAGCGAGGAGGAGGCUCUUUUGGUUAAUACCCAAGAUGAGUGGACGUUACUCGCAGAAUAAGCACCGGCUAACUCUGUGUCAGCCGCCGCAGUAA